UACGGAGGGUGCGAGCGUUAUCCGGAUUUAUUGGGUUUAAAGGGUGCGUAGGCGGGCUUUUAAGUCAGCGGUAAAAAUUCGGGGCUCAACCCCGUCCGGCCGUUGAAACUGGGGGCCUUGAGUGGGCGAGAAGAAGGCGGAAUGCGUGGUGUAGCGGUGAAAUGCAUAGAUAUCACGCAGAACCCCGAUUGCGAAGGCAGCCUUCCGGCGCCCUACUGACGCUGAGGCACGAAAGUGCGGGGAUCGAACAGG
rnacentral:rRNA from 1 species